UGGGGAAUAUUGCACAAUGGGCGAAAGCCUGAUCCAGCAAUGCCGCGUGUGUGAAGAAGGCCUUCGGGUUGUAAAGCACUUUUGUCCGGAAAGAAAUCCUUGGCUCUAAUACAGUCGGGGGAUGACGGUACCGGAAGAAUAAGCACCGGCUAACUACGUGCCAGCAGCCGCGGUAAUACGUAGGGUGCAAGCGUUAAUCGGAAUUACUGGGCGUAAAGCGUGCGCAGGCGGUUUGCUAAGACCGAUGUGAAAUCCCCGGGCUCAACCUGGGAACUGCAUUGGUGACUGGCAGGCUAGAGUAUGGCAGAGGGGGGUAGAAUUCCACGUGUAGCAGUGAAAUGCGUAGAGAUGUGGAGGAAUACCGAUGGCGAAGGCAGCCCCCUGGGCCAAUACUGACGCUCAUGCACGAAAAGCGUGGGGGAGCAAAACAGGAUUAGAUACCCUGGUAGUCCACGCCCUAAACGAUGUCAACUAGUUGUUGGGGAUUCAUUUCCUUAGUAACGUAGCUAACGCGUGAAGUUGACCGCCUGGGGAGUACGGUCGCAAGAUUAAAACUCAAAGGAAUUGACAGGGUCAUAGCUGUUUCCU
rnacentral:rRNA from 1 species